ensembl:lncRNA
ACAUGACUGAGCUUCUCUUCCGUUUGUCAGUCGCUUAACUUCAUUACCGAGUGCCUAAGGUGAACUGCGACAGGUGCUUCUAAACCGCUCUCGUCUGGAUUGGUUCAUUAUAAUUUGGGUCAGCGUGAGGAUACGGAGGUGUUUAUUGGCUGCUGGCCUUGGUUUCCUGGCAAACCCCGCCGCGCCCAGCUGAUCAUCUUCCAGACUGGGAGCUGGAGGCGCUCCAGUCUGACACAUGCACAGUACAGUGGAGUCCAGCAGCCACAUGGAAGGAAGGAGGCUGACACACAUAGCAGCACAGGGGGACCAAUGAGACUCCAGGAAAGGGAUGUCGCCGAGCUAUUUUCAUCCUCAAGACUCUGAAUGUGGCAGACCCCGAGAAGCAGGUGCACCUCAUCGAAGCCAGAUUUCAGACCCACCGUCUCCUAGCAACAACACCAGAAGACGAGAGCACCACCAGCUCCACCAGGGCUACUGCUAUUUACCAAAAUGUCGUCUGGCUUUGUUUGGCUGUUUUGUCAUUUUUUUAAAAAAAUGACAAAGAAAGGGGGGGGAAAGUAGGCCACCAGUUCUUGUUAAACUGUUAAAAGCUAAACUGAACUGGUUUAAACACAGAAGACAAACUGGAUUAAGCAUAUAUAUAAAAUAUGUUUUGCAGUGUCUGUGAAGUGCGAUUGAGGGAUGUUCCUCAGGUCACCCCUCAGAACUGUUAAUGCAACAGGCCGCUGUAGGAUUCAUCACUACAGCACAGUAUAUUUAUAUUAAUACCAAGGCUUCCA